rnacentral:lncRNA from 1 species
AACCACCGAAUUUCAGAUUAAAUACCAUGCAACCAAGACCCAAUCAUUAGAAAUUUAACAAACAAACUGGGUGCUUGGGGAAUUAAAACCAAUUGGAGGUCAACUAACUAGCUAUUAGACCAAACGGUAGAGAGGAAAUAAGUGGAAUUUGGCUGCUGACAUGGGACGGUGGGUAGCUCUCGUCUGGACAGCUGCCCUGAAGGAAUCUGCUGAGUAUGCAGUGACCGAAUGAGGUGAACAUUGGAUUGAUCAGCACCGAAUGAAGAAGCUUGAGUGGUCGGUGGAGUGAAGGAAAUAUGUUCAAAUGCUCUUCUUACCAACCAAGCAUUGGAAACCAAAUCGAGAGUGAGAGUUUCGGUCAUAACCAUUCAUGCCAAAACACCACCGAGUGAGAAAUAUUUCUAGUUCCUCUUGUCCAGCUUGCAACCGAGAGAGAGUGUGUGUGUGAGGGAGAGAGUGCUAGCUUUAUCUCUCCAGCUCGCAACCUCAUAACCGUGAGUCAAAGUGAAUGAGAGGGAGAGAAAUCUUGUUAGCUGCAUCAUCCACCAGUUUUAACCGAGAGUGAAAGUGACGUAAGGAAGGAGAAGGAGAGAGUUGGAACGGAAACUUUGAGGAGCCGCAACAGAAAGCUAAGAGUAACCUGCAAUUACCGAAUUCUAAAGGAAAGAGGAACUCAUUUUUGGCCUCUUUCAACUGUGAGAACCAGCCACAAAGAAAGAAGGAAUGCAGUCUAUCGAGUCUAGGAUGGGAGAGUGGAACCAGAAUUUUAUUUUCUUAACUUAGGCCAUAAGAACCAGAGGUAAACUACUGUCCUCCUCUUCCAGUUCUUCCACGUUUAGUUAGUAGUCUUUUAGACUGAGUUGGAACCAAGUAAAAGAAAACUUUCUGGAAAACAAAGGUUAUCAAAGCUGGAAAUGUUAGUUUGAAGCUGCUGUGUGAUACUUGAUGAGCUAAUCUGCAAUUUUCCAGUUGUAUCUUCUGUUGCAUGUCUCACAUACAUUUUCUGGUCACAUAUCUUAACAUGGAUAUCACCUUUGAGAGGUUAAAAGCAAGGAAAAGAUGAAUUAAAAGCAGGAACAUUGUUGGAAAUUUUAUUGAGGACCGUAGGAAGAAAACUUGCUGGAAUUUUCCAGCUCUAUCCGAGAGAAGGAAAUGAAGAGGUUUCUAACUGUCCUCAUGAAUUAUGGCCUUGAAUCUCUAUGUUAAACUGUAGUAUAUGAUGUAUAAUAGCUGGUCUGAACAUGCAUGGAAGAUUUGAGCAAGAACUGAAGUGAUUAUUGGAGAGAAAAUAGUGUUGAGUGAUUGCUGCAACAAUUCUGGAAAAAAAUGCAGAAGGAAGAAGAUCGUGAGCUGAACCAGUAUUGUUCUGAUUUCCCUUGGCUAUAAACUUGUAUUCAUGCUGAUGGUACUCUGUAGUUUGAUAACCAACCUUUGCAUGUGGAAUUUAAUGAACAAAACUGAAAGAAAUUAGGGAGGAAAAACUAUGAACUGCGUUGUUAAUUGCUUCACAACUGAGUGAGUGAAGCAGGAUGGGCUUCCGUCCGGCCAUUUUUGACUAUGACAAUGUGAAAACUGGAUGUUGGUGUCUUCACAAGAAAUGUAGGUCUAUAUUUUAGCUUCGAAACGCUAUAAAGUUUGCCUCAAUCCGAUAAGCAUAGCUCUAGUUAUGAUUGAAAUACCAGAGGAUGGCAAAGCUGCCUUCCUCGUUGCCUUUCCUUUUGUUUCGCAUGCAUACAGCUUUGAUAAUGGCCGUGAGGAAACCAACUUUUAACUAACGUUUCUUCUAAUUUCCAAUCUUGUAAGCUUUCAUAAAUGAUAGCUAUGAUUGUGCUGAGAUUUAAUCGCUAUACCUAGUUCCACGAGUAGAGUUAGACUAAGGCAAUUGAGUGAAAAGUCACGAUAGUUAUAUACGUAAAGUGGCUUCUAAUUAUUUAAUAUUAUUUUCACGAAUAUUUUUAAAGGCUAUUAAAUUUUGGGACUGGUAUAGUGAAAAAAAACUUAAUUUCCAAAUAACUUAGAGUCUAAUUAAUAAAAGGGAACCAAGGGAAUACUUCUAAACCUUAAUUUUGGAAUCUUGAGUGGAAAAUGAUUUAAAUCCUAAAAUAAAUAUCUUAUGAAUUAUUAACUUGUCCAGGAUGUAGCUGUGAGCCAAGAAACAAACCCGAGGCUCAAGAGUAAUUUACUUGGAUAAUUGGUGAGUGUUUUCCGAAUUUAUGUAUUAAACUGCUUAUGUGUACCUAAAUGCAAUUAUAUGGCAAAUGUGUUUAUUAUGAAAUAUUGCUAAGUGAUUCAUUGUGAAGUGUUUUCAAUUGUCCCUCGCCUUUUAAGUCCAGAGUGUACUUUAUCGCACUCGUCUUAGUUGAGCUUGAAGGUCGAUAAUUGAUCGAGUGAUAUUAUAAGUGUGCAUGACUGUAAGCCGUGUGUGUACUUUAUCACACCGGCUGAACUGGGCCCCAAAACCCUCUGUUCAACGUACUAUUCGAGCCAGCAAAGGGUUUGGUCGGGUAGGACGGUAGUUUUGAGUAAGUGUUUCGGUAUGCUCGAGUAUUACCACGGAGUAGCAGAUUAUUGAUAUUGAUAUGGCCAUCCAAGUGAGGGAAAUGUUUAUUGUUUUGGAGGUUAUAAGGAAGAGUUCGGCGGAGUGUGUAGUGCAUUGAAGUGGCUCUAAUGCGAGCACCGUAUCCUUUUAAAAGUGAUUGUUCAGUGAAGCGUUUCCUCAAUUGCUAAUGAAAGUGAUUGUACAGUGAAAUGUGCACUACUUGUUUAUUUGUAUUGAUUCAUGUGAUUAUUAAAUGUUACUUGCAUGGAAACCUCACGGGCGUAAGCUCACCUUUUUAGCUUUGUUUUCCUUACAGGAGUUGGAGAUUGAAAAGUGAUUGGAUGGAAUUGGAAAGUUAUUUUUGGAAAUCCCAUCACUAUGUGUGUAUAUUGGAGUCACGUUUUCUUUCGUAUUUUAAGAUGGUUGAAUCUUUUGUUUUGAGUUGAUGUAAUAUUAAGAAUGGAUGUUUAGAACGUGUAUUUUUUUUCCUUUUAGUGGACAAAUCUAUGUUUCAAGCUGAUUGGAGUGGUACUUAAGAGUGAAUGUUCAGUUGUCCAAUGGUAAUGUUAUCUCUGAAGUUAAUGGGAGUGAGUGAGUCCUGGCGAGAGCCAGGCAGGCGAUCCGCUAACUUCUAGGGUAUGCCCUAGGAGAAGGUGGGGUCGUCACAGGUGAUAUCAGAGCUCUUAAUGAGCUCAUGCCAGGAGAAGGUUCUUGGAUUGUGGGGAGUGGCCUGUUAACUGUGAAAUGAACUAUCAUUAUUGAGGAAAAAUUAGAUACGUAUAUCGGGUAGGAAUCUCAAAUAUGGAUGAUUUACUCUUGGAACCGGCCGGCUUGAGUUGUGAAUUAUCCUAUUUUCGGAUUCUUGUAUCCGAGUACUAAAUAUUUUAUACAUUCGUGUAUUUGCAAAUUGGCAGGAGUUAGUAUAUUGCAUUAUGAAGUGAAUAGGAAUCGUGAUUAAAUUUGGGGAAGUGGAAUCGAAGAGACUAAGGCUAGCUUUGAGAGUUAAAGGUGAAAAGACAGUAGUGAGAUCUUGAAGAUUGGUGCAAAUCCUCCAUCUUAAGGUGAAUAACUUUACUAGUCUUUCGAUAGUAAAUGAAUUAUAUACCAUCUAUUGCCCAAAAAUGUGGUUUUCAGACAUGAAAUUUAAGUGAAAUAAUAGUUCAAGUAAGGAUUCUAGAUCUGUAAACUGAUAUGAUAGAGGAGCAAGAGUGAACUAAUGCAAUGCAUGAUCAGUUGCAGGAGACUAAGGACCGCCUUGUUUGGGUACCAAGAUAGGCAAGGGAUAAAAUUGAAGAGAUUUUGGCAGAAUGUAGCUCGUGAUUGAAGAGGUUGUGGGAAAUUUGGAUAGGAAAAAAAAUCCAAAAGAAAAAGCUCUUAGGGUUGAAAAUAAAGUUGAACCAACUAAAGAGACUGGAUCUGCCAGCUCUAUUAUGGACUGACCCAAUAAAUCACUUGAUUAAAACUUUUGCAUGGACGAUUGAGUUGGAACUUUGUCAUGUUUUUACGGAUACUAAAUUUUCUUAUACCAAAUACUUGUUUGACUUCUUAUUAAAGUGUACUUGAACUUGAUAUAUGUUGUAAUUGACCUUGUUAUGUGAUAUACUUUAAUUGAUCAUGAAUCGCUUAAUAGUAACGAUAUGUAUGGAGUGAAUGUGUUUCUGGGUUAUAGUUAACCACAAUUGUAUUCAUGCAUAAUUGAUUAUUACAUGUUUGUUAAUAGACUAGUUGUGAGAGAUAUAGAGUUUAGGGAGUGAUAACGUCAGGGUUAUGAGGUUAUCUUUGGUGAAGAUUGUUUAAUUAAGUAUAACACCCAGUUAAAUUGUGAAUUAAAGUAGUUGAGUUUUAUAUACUUGGGGAUGUAGUCGAUACAACACUUAAAUUGCAGAGGGAAAACGCCAAGACCAAAUUUAUUUGGUUAAGGCUUUGUGGAAAACAUGAAUGAUUAGACGAAGUGAUGUGGAAAUGAAAGAUAAAAUACGGAAAGAAUACUCGAAACUUUUUACAAUUCAAAGUGUGAAAUUUCGAGGACGAAAUUUUAUUAAAGGGGGAAGAAUGUGAUAAUUCGAGAGAAAUCUUGAAUAAACUUAGCCAUUAUUACCCUUAUUUCAUCAUUUGAAAUAUUAUAGAUAACAAAUAAUUGGUCAAAUUAAAUGACAAAAUUUAAUUGUUCAAUAAAUUGAGGAUUUAGCAAUAUCCUAGAAUAGUGUAGGAAAACAUAUAUAUAUAUUUAACAAGAAGAAUUUAUUCUAAAUAUUAGUUACACGAAUCAAAUAAACAUCCGAUAUGCAUAUUACCGUUUGUGACCUUUGAAUAUAUUAAAUAGUGGAAUAAGUGAUACGUCUAGUUGAAUUUCUUUAAGAUCAAGUGUAAGAAAAUCUACUGGAUAGAUAUAUUUAGAAAGUUUUCAAGGUAAAUGCAAAAUUGGAACAAACGGAAAAUUUUGAGUCAAGGUGUAAGGCAAUAAAAUUUCGGAUUCAUGGCAACCAAAUAAACUAAGAUGAAAAUACCAAACUAACCACCGAAUUUCAGAUUAAAUACCAUGCAACCAAGACUCAAUCAUUAGAAAUUUAACAAACAAACUGGGUGCUUGAGGAAUUAAAACCAAUUGGAGGUCAACUAACUAGCUAUUAGACCAAACGGUAGAGAGAAAAUAAGUGGAAUUUGGCUGCUGACUUGGGACGGUGGGUAGCUCUCGUCUGGACAGCUGCCCUGAAGGAAUCUGCUGAGUAUGCAGUGACCGAAUGAGGUGAACAUUGGAUUGAUCAGCACCGAAUGAAGAAGCUUGAGUGGUCGGUGGAGUGAAGGAAAUAUGUUCAAAUGCUCUUCUUACCAACCAAGCAUUGGAAACCAAAUCGAGAGUGAGAGUUUCGGUCAUAACCAUUCAUGCCAAAACACCACCGAGUGAGAAAUAUUUCUGAUUCCUCUUGUCCAGCUUGCAACCGAGAGAGAGAGAGAGUGAGGGAGAGAGUGCUAGCUUUAUCUCUCCAGCUCGCAACCUCAUAACCGUGAGUCAAAGUGAGUGAGAGGGAGAGAAAUCUUGUUAGCUGCAUCAUCCACCAGUUUUAACCGAGAGUGAAAGUGACGUAAGGAAGGAGAAGGAGAGAGUUGGAGCGGAAACUUUGAGGAGCCGCAGCAGAAAGCUAAGAGUAACCUGCAAUUACCGAAUUCUAAAGGAAAGAGGAACUCAUUUCUGGCCUCUUUCAACCGUGAGAACCAGCCACAAAGAAAGAAUGAAUGCAGUCUAUCGAGUCUAGGAUGGGAGAGUGGAACCAGAAUUUUAUUUUCUUAACUUAGGCCAUAAGAACCAGAGGUAAACUACUGUCCUCCUCUUCCAGUUCUUCCACGUUUAGUUAGUAGUCUUUUAGACUGAGUUGGAACCAAGUAAAAGAAAACUUUCUGGAAAACAAAGGUUAUCAAACUUGGAAAUGUUAGUUUGAAGCUGCUAUGUGAUACUUGAUGAGCUAAUUUGCAAUUUUCCAGUUGUAUCUUCUGUUGCAUGUCUCACAUACAUUUUCUGAUCACAUAUCUUAACAUGCAUAUCACCUUUGAGAGGUUAAAAGCAAGGAAAAGAUGAAUUAAAAGCAGGAACAUUGUUGGAAAUUUUAAUGAGGAUCGUAGGAAGAAAACUUGCUGGAAUUUUCCAGCUCUAUCCGAGAGAAGGAAAUGAAGAGGUUUCUAGCUGUCCUCAUGAAUUAUGGCCUUGAAUCUCUAUGUUAAACUGUAGUAUAUGAUGUAUAAUAGCUGGUCUGAACAUGCAUGGAAGAUUUGAGCAAGAGCUGAAGUGAUUAUUGGAGAGAAAAUAGUGUUGAGUGAUUGCUGCAACAAUUCUGGAAAAAAAUGCAGAAGGAAGAAGAUCGUGAGCUGAACCAGUAUUGUUCUGAUUUCCCUUGGCUAUAAACUUGUAUUCAUGCUGAUGGUACUCUGUAGUUUGAUAACCAACCUUUGCAUGUGGAAUUUAAUGAACAAAACUGAAAGAAAUUAGGGAGGAAAAACUAUGAACUGCGUUGUUAAUUGCUUCACAACUGAGUGAGUGAAGCAGGAUGGGCUUCCGUCCGGCCAUUUUUGACUAUGACAAUGUGAAAACUGGAUGUUGGUGUCUUCACAAGAAAUGUAGGUCUAUAUUUUAGCUUCGAAACGCUAUAAAGUUUGCCUCAAUCCGAUAAGCAUAGCUCUAGUUAUGAUUGAAAUACCAGAGGAUGGCAAAGCUGCCUUCCUCGUUGCCUUUCCUUUUGUUUCGCAUGCAUGCAGCUUUGAUAAUGGCCGUGAGGAAACCAACUUUUAACUAACGUUUCUUCUAAUUUCCAAUCUUGUAAGCUUUCAUAAAUGAUAGGUACGAUUGUGCUGAGAUUUAAUCGCUAUACCUAGUUCCACGAGUAGAGUUAGACUAAGGCAAUUGAGUGAAAAGUCACGAUAGUUAUAUACGUAAAGUGGCUUCUAAUUAUUUAAUAUUGUUUUCACGAAUAUUUUUAAAGGCUAUUAAAUUGAGGGACUGGUAUAGUGGAAAAAAACUUAAUUUCCAAAUAACUUAGAGUCUAAUUAAUUAAAAGGGAACCAAGGGAAUACUUCUAAACGUUAAUUUUGGAAUCUUGAGUGGAAAAUGAUUUAAAUCCUAAAAUAAAUAUCUUAUGAAUUAUUAACUUGUUCAGGAUGUAGCUGUGAGCCAAGAAACAAACCCGAGACUCAAGAGUAAUUUACUUGGAUAAUUGGUGAGUGUUUUCCGAAUUUAUGAGUUAAACUACUUAUGUGUACCUAAAUGCAAUUAUAUGGCAAAUGUGUUUAUUAUGAAAUAUUGCUAAGUGAUUCAUUGUGAAGUGUUUUCAAUUGUCCCUCGCCUUCUAAGUCGAGGGUGUAUUUUGUCGCACUCGUCUUAGUUGAGCUUGAAGGUCGAUAAUUGAUCGAGUGAUAUUGUAAGUGUGCAUGACAGUAAGCCGUGUGUGUACUUUAUCACACCGGCUGAACUGGACCCCAAAACCCUCUGUUCAACGGACUAUUCGAGCCAGCAAAGGGCUUGGUCGGGUAGGACGGUAGUUUUGGGUAAGUGUUUCGGUGUGCUCGAAUAUUACCACGAAGUAGCAGAUUAUUGAUAUUGAUAUGGCCAUCCAAGUGAGGGAAGUGUUUAUUGUUUUGGAGGUUAUAAGGAGGAGUUCGGCGGAGUGUGUAGUGCAUUGAAGUGGCUCUAAUGCGAGCACCGUAUCCUUUUAAAAAUGAUUGUUUAGUGAAGUGUUUCCUCAAUUGCUAAUGAAAGUGAUUGUAUAGUGAAAUGUGCACUACUUGUUUAUUUGUAUUGAUUCAUGUGAUUAUUAAAUGUUACUUGCAUGGAAACCUCACGGGCGUAAGCUCACCCUUUUAGCUUUGUUUUCCUUACAGGAGUUGGAGAUUGAAAAGUGAUUGGAUGGAAUUGGAAAGUUGUUUUGGGUAAUCCCAUCACUAUGUGUGUAUAUUGGAGUCACGUUUUCUUUCGUAUUUUAAGAUGGUUGAAUCUUUUGUUUUGAGUUGAUGUAAUAUUAAGAAUGGAUGUUUAGAACGUGUAUUUUGUUUCUUUUAGUGGACAAAUCUAUGUUUCAAGCUGAUUGGAGUGGUACUUAAGAGUGAAUGUUCAGUUGUCCAAUGGUAAUGUUAUCUCUGAAGUUAAUGAGAGUGAGUGAGUCCUGGCGAGAGCCAGGCAGGCGAUCCGCUAACUUCUAAGGUAUGCCCUAGGAGAAGGUGGGGUCGUCACAGAGAUAAUUUAAAGUAUUUGUGUGUGAGACGUUCUUGGCAUGUUAAGAAAAUAAUUGAAUGAUUAUUCAAAUUCUGGAUCAAA